UACAGAGGGUGCGAGGCGUUGUCCGGAAUCACUGGGCGUAAAGGGCGCGUAGGUGGCCUGGUAAGUAGGGGGUGGAAAUCUCGCGGCUCAACUGCGAGGCUGCCUCCUAAACUGUCAGGCUCGAGCAGAGUAGAGGCAGGUGGAAUUCCCGGUGUAGCGGUGGAAUGCGUAGAGAUCGGGAAGAACAUCGGUGGCGAAGGCGGCCUGCUGGGCUCUUGCUGACACUGAGGCGCGACAGCGUGGGGAGCAAACAGG
rnacentral:rRNA from 1 species